AGUGUACCGGAAGGUGCUCUUGGAAA
rnacentral:rRNA from 1 species